rnacentral:rRNA from 1 species
AUUGAACGCUGGCGGCAGGCCUAACACAUGCAAGUCGAGCGAGCGGCGGACGGGUGAGUAGUGUAGGGGGACUGCCCGAUAGAGGGGGAUAACUACGAGAAACGGUGGCUAAUAGCGCAUACUAACGGGUAACCCAUAUGGGAUUAGCUAGUAGGUGGGGUAAAGGCUCACCGAGGCGACGCUCUCUCUCUGGUCUGAGAGGAUGAUCAGCCACACUGGUACUGAGACACGGCCCAGACUCCUACGGAGGCAGCAGUGGGGAAUAUUGCACAAGGGGCGCAAGCCUGAUGCAGCCAUGCCGCGUGUAUGAAGAAGGCCUUAGGGUUGUAAAGUACUUUCAGCGGGGAGGCGUUACCCGCAGAAGAAGCACCGGCUAACUCCGUGCCAGCAGCCGCGGUAAUAC